rnacentral:rRNA from 1 species
GACGAACGCUGGCGGCGUGCUUAACACAUGCAAGUCGAACGGAAAGGCCCGUCUUGCAGGGUACUCGAGUGGCGAACGGGGUAGGAACACGGUGUGGAUCUGCCCUGCACUUCGGGAUAAGCCUGGGAAACUGGGGCUAAUACCGGCUAGGGGCUACUUUGAGGCUUAUUUUUGCAAAUAUUGUUCGGUGUAGGGUGAGGUUGCGCCGUAGCAGCUUGUUGGUGGGGGAAUGGUCUACGAAGGCGGCGACGGGUAGCCGGCCCGAGAGUGUGGACGGACACAUUGGGCCUGAGACACGGCCCAGACUCAUAAGGGAGGAAGCAGUGGUGAAUAAUGCACAAUGGGAGCAAGGCUGAUGGCGCGAAGCCGCGUGGGGGAUGAGGGCCUUCGGGUUGUAAGCUCGUUUCGCUAGGGACGAAGCUUUUUGUGACGGUACCUAGAGAAGAAGCACCGGCUAACUACGUG